rnacentral:tRNA from 1 species
AGGGGCGUAGCUCAAUUGGUAGAGCGUCGGUCUCCAAAACCGAAGGUUGGGGGUUCGACACCCUCCGCCCCUG